rnacentral:rRNA from 1 species
GACGAACGCUGGCGGCGCGCCUAACACAUGCAAGUCGAACGAGCGAGAGAGAGCUUGCUUUCUCAAGCGAGUGGCGAACGGGUGAGUAACGCGUGAGGAACCUGCCUCAAAGAGGGGGACAACAGUUGGAAACGACUGCUAAUACCGCAUAAGCCCACGGCUCGGCAUCGAGCAGAGGGAAAAGGAGCAAUCCGCUUUGAGAUGGCCUCGCGUCCGAUUAGCUAGUUGGUGAGGUAACGGCCCACCAAGGCGACGAUCGGUAGCCGGACUGAGAGGUUGAACGGCCACAUUGGGACUGAGACACGGCCCAGACUCCUACGGGAGGCAGCAGUGGGGAAUAUUGCACAAUGGGGGAAACCCUGAUGCAGCGACGCCGCGUGGAGGAAGAAGGUCUUCGGAUUGUAAACUCCUGU